rnacentral:rRNA from 1 species
AACGAACGCUGGCGGCAGGCUUAACACAUGCAAGUCGAACGCACCCUUCGGGGUGAGUGGCAGACGGGUGAGUAACGCGUGGGAACAUGCCCUUCAGUUCGGAAUAACCCAGGGAAACUUGGGCUAAUACCGGAUACGCCCUUAGGGGGAAAGAUUUAUCGCUGAAGGAGUGGCCCGCGUCUGAUUAGCUAGUUGGUGAGGUAAUGGCUCACCAAGGCGACGAUCAGUAGCUGGUCGAGAGGAUGAUCAGCCACACUGGGACUGAGACACGGCCCAGACUCCUACGGGAGGCAGCAGUGGGGAAUAUUGGACAAUGGGCGCAAGCCUGAUCCAGCCAUGCCGCGUGAGUGAUGAAGGCCUUAGGGUUGUAAA